UCCCCCUCCCUCAAAGACGCCCCACUCAGGAACUGGCGCGCCUGAGUUCGGAUCCCAGGACUCCCGGCCACCCCCAGCGCAGGGCCCCAGCGCACCGCGGGAAGCUCAGCCCCAGGGGCCGGGCGUGGGGGGCGGAGAACCCCCUCCCGGCCCUGCCUGGCGCAUUCCCGGGAGCUGCUGUCACCAGAGGGCGCGCCCCACCCCGCCUCCCGCCUCCACGCCCGCCCCGGACUAGGAACUGUGGCUGUGGGGCAGACCCGGGUCCAGAAAGUCUCCCUCCCGUGCGCCUGUGGUCCCCUCCCCUCCGACCUCAGUCUCCCCAUCCCGGCAACGGGGUCGUAGGGGUCUCCACCGCGGAGACCCCCUGCUUCCAGCUGGACCCCAGCUGCUUGGGUGUCCUGGCAAGAGCCGGGUUGGCCCUAGACUCCCCCUACCCUUUCCCCUCUGCACCCCCCUCCGCCUCCACCACGCAAGGGUAUAGCGGGCACCCUCUGCUCGCCUCCUCCCCUGCUCCUUUCUAUCGCCCAUGAUUCUGCGUUGGUGGGUUAAGGAGAUGGGGGCGCUAAGGGGGCAGUGGGUGGACUGCCCCUCUGCCCCGAGGCUUGACCAGGCUUGGCCCGAGUGCCCCCUGCUCCUCCCAGAGCCCACCACGGGGUGUCUAGCCUGGACCGCAGGGAAGGCUUUGCCAGCGCAGCUGUCUGCCCUUCAGCCUGGAGCAGCUCAGAGCAGGGCCACCCAGUGCCACUCAUUCCUCUGGCAUUUAUCAAGCACCCACCAUGUGCCAGAGCAGCUGUGAACAGGAUCCCACGUGGCAUUGAGCUGUUUCUCUCGUUAAGGUAAAAAGAUGCAAGCAGAUGAAAUAUAGGCUAUCCCUGCAAAAAUCUGGCUGUUUCUGAUGCCCACAUAGCCUGGUACGCAGCCAGAGUCAAUCAAUGUCCUUGAAUAGAGGCUGAGGGGGCAGCCAGCAGGAGAGGGGGUGCCAGGGAAGGUGUCCACCUGCAGGAGCUGCACCCACUUGGGACCCUGAGGACACCCACCCUGCAGGCAGGGUCCGGCACAGCUUGGGGAGGGUUUGGACUUGCCCAGGGCCACCAGGCAGGUUGGCACCUAUGGGGAAAUGGCUCCCAGUCUGGUGGGGCAGACGCCAGCCAACCUACAGAGAAAUGGCAUAAUUUCAGGUGGUGAGGGUACCCCAGAGGGACUCUCAGGGUAUGGUGGCCUUCUGGGCAAGGGGUGGCCCUCGCCCAGGUCCUAGGAGAUGAGUGGAGUGGCCAGGUGAAUGCUCAGGGGUGGGGAGCACCGCAGGCAGAGAAAAUGGCAUGUGCAAAGGCCCUGAGGUUGGGAUAAGCUUGGUAUGGGAUUUCUUGGCCAGAGAGGUCAGGGUGGCUGGGCUGAGGUGAGUGGGUGGGCAGCUGGGGGAACCAUGGGGGUGCACCAGUGGGCCUUUGUUUGGAUGUGAUCUGAUUUGAUUUUGGAAGGUGUCUUGCUGACAGGAGGACAUUGAACUUUCCACCCUGGGGCCUCAGAGAAUCCACUGAGUCCAGCUCCCAGCCACCCCUUGAUUCCGGGAGCCCCCAAGGACCCAAACAAUCUGCCCCACCCCACCUGCCAGAACUGCCCUUGAUGUUCCUGAUCCUGGGUCUUGGCUGGUCCUGAGCACCACGUCGGGGCCUAUGUCUUCAGCUCCGUCUCCCUGUCCGGAUCCCCCGCCAGUCAUCUUGAAGGGAAUGUCCCCCAGACUUACUCGGGAUGCCCCUCCCUGGCCCUGGCCACACCCCACUCUGGCUGUCCUGGAGUUCUAGUACCACAGGUCAAAGGGGACAGUUUGCAGUGGCUGAACCCAGCUGCGGUGUGGAUCACUUGCAGAACGCUUUCCAAGCUGGAUGUGCAAGAUAAUGUUCCUUGCAGAGGCCCUGGCCAAUGAGGGGCAGAUGCCAGGGGCUUGAUGCCCCCCUCAUCCUCCCCUUGGUCAGGCAUUUCUGAGGAAUCUUCUACCCAGUUCCUCAGGGGCCCACAGUGGUUACCAGGUCAUGCCCUGCCUUGUUCUCCCCAGCCCCUCACUCUUGCUCUGCCAAGCCUCUUGCUGCACUAAACCCUUGCUUCAGGCUCUGCUUUCAGGACAGGGAAGCUGCCCAGGAGAACAGUCUUUUACUGGCCUGGACACUGUGAGCGGGAGGAAGGGAGAAAAGGGGACAGGGCCUCAGAACUGAGCCCUGGGCAUCAGGAGAAGGAAGAGGAGCCUCAAAGGAGAACAGAAAAGAGUUGGCCUAAAGGUGGGGAAAACGCCUGCAGAGAGGCAUCACGGAGGAUGAGAGGACGGAUGGUACUUCUGGAAGGAGCUGACGCUGGUGCUGAGAGUGGGAGCAUCACGGACAAAGUUUGGUCCCAAGGGUGGGGGUGGAAGGUGGAAGCCAACUCCAGAGCCCCCCACACCAACCCUGGGCUGGUCCCCAGGCAGCACGCCGCUGCAGUCACGGGGCUUCUGAACCGUGGUGGCAGGGUCCCCUCCCACCUGCUCCACUCCAGGGUCCCCGUCCCCAGGGGCGCAUCAGGUUGGCAGAUGCCCAGGAGUUAUAGGCGUGCGGUGUCUGCAGCAUUUCAAGCCUGUGGGCCAGAGAGGGACCCAGAGCUGGCUGUCACGUCUGCCCACAUGCUCCCACUGUGGCACUUUCUGGAAGGAAGGGACCACACCACCGCCGACCCCAGGGAGGCCCCCUGGACUCUGUCUGCCCCUCACUGUCUCAGCAGCCGCCUCUCAGGUCAGCACAAGAACAGACUGGAGGGAAGGCAAGUUUGUGGCCAGAAGCAUGGGGGUGGAGGUGGGGGUGGCCAGGCAGGGGUGCCGGCCCAUGACCGCCUCUGCCUAGGGAACCCUGCGGGGGUCAGCAUAGGAGGCUCAGGCAGCCCCGCUGAGCCCAACACCACCUCGCUUCUUUGCAAUCUUUGCAAAAUGCCUCAGUAUCCCCAUCUGUAAAAUGAGGAUAUUGAUAACCCCCCACAAGGCUGUAAUUUUUGGGGAGGGCUGAAUCUAAUAUGUUUUCCAUUUUUUUUAAUCUUGGCAAAAUACACAUAGUGUAAAAUUCA